rnacentral:lncRNA from 1 species
UUUAUUAUAGGCCUAGUUUAUUCGUAUUCAUAAUCAUCAUUAUCGUUACCAUUAUUUAAUUAUUUUCAUCGUUUUUCAUAAAUUAUAAUUAGGCCUGUCUGUACCUACAUAAAACACAUACUAUAACAGAGUUACAGAACGUUCCUGAAUUUUGUAAAAUUUGGCCAAAACCUGCUUUUUAGAUGUAAAAUUAAGUAUAUUUUUAUGCAUAUAGUAUAAGAAUUUUAAAAGUAUAUAUUUCUUUGCGAUUCAAUAGUGUAAUAAUUAGCUCAUUUGUUAGUAUUUUAUGACUUUGAAAAUAAGAAAAUUAAUUUUAAAAAAUAUGUGUUUUGCCCUAUAACAGGAUUUUCAGGUAAUACAUAUUUUACUGGUAAUAUUUGGAGGAAAUAUUCCUUUACAGCUAAUAUAUUUAUAUAUUUUUUUUGAAAUAGCUUUUUUUCUGAUAUUUUGUGGGGGAAAUAUUUCAUUAUAGCGAAUGAUAACGUGAGUUUUCCGAACAGUUUGGUACCAAAAUAAACUUUCUAUGACUAAUCGUAUCCACAAUACAGAGUGUUAGUCUUUUUCCCAAAAAUUGAUGUUUUUGCAUUAAUGCGACACUUUUGCCUUUAGAUUAAAGAAUUUUGCUUGGGUUCUACCAGAUUCAUUAUCAGCAAAGGACAAGUACCCUAAAUCAAGUGGAUCCUAGCUUCUGCCUAAAAAUACCCAUUGAUUCUUUACAGAGAACGAUUUUAAAAAACUGAACCUUUCUAUAGUGUCACAAGUUUAAUAUGCUACCAAGCAAUUUAUAAUAUUUAUUCUCAUGUUGUAGUGAAUUAAAAAACAUCUAAGAUAACAAUUUUGUUUCUUCUUUAAAGGGUUGGUAACAUGUUUAAAAUGCAAAGAGAUAAGCAUGGAUAAUGAAAACCGGACAGAAUACAAUUUGAAAAAUAAAGCAAAUGAUAAACCUACUAGAGAGCCAUUCAUGGAAAAUGAAAACCGGACAGAAUACAAAUUGAAAAAUAAAGCAAAUGAUAAACCUACUAGAGAGCCAUUAAUGUAGAGGGCCUCCUUUAUGCUGAUCUGGAUUUGAGGUUGUUCUCCCAUCGUCAUGGUUCUAAUCAUGGAAUCACUCACACUGAAGAGGACACCAUAUAUUCCAGUAUCGUUGGUCAAAUUACAAUAGAAAAAAAAUAGAUUUGACAAUGACAAUUUAAGCGUUUUGAGGUACUUGUCUAAUGUGUUAUAACUUAUUGAAUUCCAAAAUGUAAGGUUGAUUUUUUGUUUAUAAGAAUGAACAACAUAAAUAAUAGAAUUCAAUUUGUAUAAACUGUACUCAGAUACUUUUAUUAGUCUAAAUAUAACACACCUCAAUAACUUUCAUAUUUGUUUUCGUACCAAUAACAAUUAUUUGGAUACUAGACCUGUUAAAGGACGUUAAAAUUUAAAAUUAAUGUGUAGGAACUUUUAAAUGAGGUUAAAAUUUAAAAUUAAUGUGUAGGAACUUUUAAAGUUCAGUUUAUCUGUGUAACUGCUCGAUCCCCUAACAAACUGUAUAUGUUGUAAAUAAUACCAUAAUGUUACUAAUA